GGCAGCAUACUUUAAGAGUAAAAGGUUUGAUUUGCAUUCAGAGAAUGGAGCCCAGAGCUUCUGAUGCCA
rnacentral:tRNA from 1 species